rnacentral:rRNA from 1 species
GAUGAACGCUGGCGGCGUGCCUAAUACAUGCAAGUCGAGCGAACGGACGAGAAGCUUGCUUCUCUGAUGUUAGCGGCGGACGGGUGAGUAACACGUGUAUAACCUACCUAUCAGUCUGGGAUAACUUCGGGAAACCGGCGCUAAUACCGUAUGAUCUUUUGAACCGCAUGGUUCAAAAGUGAAAGACGGUCUUGCUGUCACUUAUAGAUGGAUCCGCGCUGCAUUAGCUAGUUGGUAAGGUAACGGCUUACCAAGGCAACGAUGCAAAGCCGACCUGAGAGGGUGAUCGGCCACACUGGAACUGAGACGCGGACCAGACUACUACGGGAGGCAGCAGUAGGGAAUCGGCCGCAGUGGGCGAAAGCCUGACGGAGCAGCGCCGCGUGAGUGAUGAAGGUCUUGGGAGCGUAAAACUCUGUUAUGAGGGAAGAACAGAUGUGUAAGGAACUGUGCACAGCGUGACGGUACCUAGUCAGAAAGCCACGGCUAACUACGUG